rnacentral:rRNA from 1 species
GACGAACGCUGGCGGCGUGCUUAACACAUGCAAGUCGAACGGAAAGGCCCUGCUUUUGUGGGGUGCUCGAGUGGCGAACGGGUGAGUAACACGUGAGUAACCUGCCCUUGACUUUGGGAUAACUUCAGGAAACUGGGGCUAAUACCGGAUAGGAUCUCCUGCUGCAUGUUGGGGGGUGGAAAGUUUCGGCGGUUGGGGAUGGACUCGCGGCUUAUCAGCUUGUUGGUGGGGUAGUGGCUUACCAAGGCUUUGACGGGUAGCCGGCCUGAGAGGGUGACCGGCCACAUUGGGACUGAGAUACGGACCAGACUCCUACGGGAGGCAGCAGUGGGGAAUAUUGCACAAUGGGCGGAAGCCUGAUGCAGCAACGCCGCGUGCGGGAUGACGGCCUUCGGGUUGUAAACCGCUUUCGCAUGUGACGAAGCGUGAGUGACGGUAAUGGGUAAAGAAGCACCGGCUAACUACGUG